GGGCGUUUAGCUCAGUUGGGAGAGCAUCUGCCUUACAAGCAGGGGGUCGGCGGUUCGAGCCCGUCAACGCCCA
rnacentral:tRNA from 1 species